rnacentral:rRNA from 1 species
UACGGGGGGGGGUAAGCGUUGUUCGGAAUUACUGGGCGUAAAGGGCUCGUAGGCGGCCAACUAAGUCAGACGUGAAAUCCCUCAGCUUAACUGGGGAACUGCGUCUGAUACUGGAUGGCUUGGAUCCGGGAGAGGGAUGCGGAAUUCCAGGUGUAGCGGUGAAAAUGCGUAGAUAUCUGGAGGAACACCGGUGGCGAAGGCGGCAUCCUGGACCGGUAUUGACGCUGAGGAGCGAAAGCCAGGGGAGCAAACGGG